UACGAAGGGGGCUAGCGUUGCUCGGAAUCACUGGGCGUAAAGGGUGCGUAGGCGGGUCUUUAAGUCAGGGGUGAAAUCCUGGAGCUCAACUCCAGAACUGCCUUUGAUACUGAGGAUCUUGAGUUCGGGAGAGGUGAGUGGAACUCCGAGUGUAGAGGUGAAAUUCGUAGAUAUUCGGAAGAACACCAGUGGCGAAGGCGGCUCACUGGCCCGGUACUGACGCUCAGGUGCGAAAGCGUGGGGAGCAAACAGG
rnacentral:rRNA from 1 species